UACGUAGGGUCCGAGCGUUGUCCGGAAUACUGGGCGUAAAGAGCUCGUAGGCGGUUUGUCGCGUCUGGCCGUGAAAGUCCGGGGCUCAACUCCGGAUCUGCGGUGGGUACGGGCAGACUAGAGUGAUGUAGGGGAGCUGGAAUUCCUGGUGUAGCGGGUGGAAUGCGCAGAUAUCAGGAGGACACCGAUGGCGAAGGCGGAUCUCUGGGCCGUAACAUGACGCCUGAGGAGCGGAAAGCUGGGGAGCGAACAG
rnacentral:rRNA from 1 species